UACAGAGGUGGCAAGCGUUGUUCGGAAUUACUGGGCGUAAAGGGCACGUAGGCGGCCCACUAAGUCAGACGUGAAAUCCCCCGGCUUAACCUGGGAACUGCGUCUGAUACUGGAGGGCUUGAGUAUGGGAGAGGGAUGUAGAAUUCCAGGUGUAGCGGUGAAAUGCGUAGAUAUCUGGAGGAAUACCGGUGGCGAAGGCGGCAUCCUGGACCAUUACUGACGCUGAGGCGCGAAAGCUAGGGGAGCAAACGGG
rnacentral:rRNA from 1 species